GUUCCCACGCCCCGGCCCGUUAUCCCCCGGCCUCAGCUGCGGAGAGGCCCGAGCGAGACGCGCCCUCGGAGCUGCAGCUCGCGCCCCCCGGCCACCCCACCGAGCCUCCCCCGGGACCCGCGCGGGGACGGCGGCUCAGGUUCGCGUUGGGGACGGCUUUGGCUUUGCUACAGUGAGUAAUCAAUAUUCAGCAAGAGUCUCAGGAAGAAAUAAGUAACUGGCCCCAAAUCAGCAAAGAUGCUUGGUUUUGGCAAGACUCUACAGUGGGAAAGCAGCUAACUACCAAUAAGCAUUAGGAGAGCAAAGAGCGACUUCUUAACAGAAUCUGCUUAGAUACUGUUUCUCUUUAACUGCAGCCUGCCUCUGGCAUCUGUUUGUCAAAGCAGCUUCAUUCUGAGCCCAUGUGAGAUGCAGCUGCUCUCAGCAUCUGUGGCUCGAAUUUUGGCAUCAUCAGAUCAAGGUUGAAGUAUGGAUGGCUUCUACUAUCUGGGAUGCUGGACGAAAAAACUCCAAGCCUUAAAAUGGUUAUUUAUAAGAUGGAACAUAAAGGCUUGCACCACACAUACUUAUUAGUCCCAUGCUAGCACAGGUUAAGAUAAGACCACAAUAAAUGUGUCUUAGUUGGUGCCCCAUUGCUGUGAAGAGACACCACAAACCACAGCAACUCUUAUACAUAAAAACAUUUAAUUGGGGUUGGCUUCUAGGUUCAGAGGUUUAGCCUAUUAUCAUGGAUGGAAGCCAGGAGGUGGACAAGGUGCUGGAGCAGGAACUGAGAAGGAAGAUCGAGCCAUUGGGCCUGGCUUGAGCUUCUGAAACCUCAAAGCCCACCCCACAGGGGGACACUUCCUCCAACAAGGCCACACCCAUGCCAACAAGGCCACAUCCAUGCCAACAAGGCCACAUCCAUGCCAACAAGGCCACACCUACUCCAGCAAGGCCACAAGUCCUAAUUCUUUCAAACAAUGCCAUUCCCUAAAGAGAGCCUGUGGGGACCAUUUUUUUUUUCAUUCAAACCACCACAAAAUGUCAAUACAACAUAUUAUUAUUAUUAAUCCUUAUCAUUUCCUUCCAGCCUGCAAUCAAUACAAAACACACUUUACCUUUAAACCUUAUCUGAUUGGAUUUCCUGUCUUAAGUGGCUCAGUUUUUUUUUUGUUUUUUUGUUUUUUUUCACAGCUCAAGGCCUUACAUUGGUAUUUAAAAAUCACCUUUCUGGCUGGAGAGUUGGCUCAGCAGUUAAGAGCAC